GGGUUGUGAGGUUAAGCGACUAAGCGUACACGGUGGAUGCCCUGGCAGUCAGAGGCGAUGAAGGGCGUGCUAAUCUGCGAUAAGCGCCGGUAAGGUGAUAUGAACCGUUAUAACCGGCGAUACCCGAAUGGGGAAACCCAGUGUGAUUCGUCACACUAUCAUUAACUGAAUCCAUAGGUUAAUGAGGCGAACCGGGGGAACUGAAACAUCUAAGUACCCCGAGGAAAAGAAAUCAACCGAGAUUCCCCCAGUAGCGGCGAGCGAACGGGGAGGAGCCCAGAGCCUGAAUCAGCAUGUGUGUUAGUGGAAGCGUCUGGAAAGGCGCGCGAUACAGGGUGACAGCCCCGUACACAAAAGCGCAUGUGCUGUGAGCUCGAUGAGUAGGGCGGGACACGUGGUAUCCUGUCUGAAUAUGGGGGGACCAUCCUCCAAGGCUAAAUACUCCUGACUGACCGAUAGUGAACCAGUACCGUGAGGGAAAGGCGAAAAGAACCCCGGCGAGGGGAGUGAAAAAGAACCUGAAACCGUGUACGUACAAGCAGUGGGAGCACCCUUU
rnacentral:rRNA from 1 species